UUAAGUUCAGCGGGUAUCCCUACCUGAUCCGAGGUCAACCUGAAAAAAAUUGGGGGUUGAUGGCAAGCACACAACCGGACCUCCAGAGCGAGAAGAAUUACUACGCUCGGAGCCGGAUGGCACCGCCACUGACUUUAGGGCCCGCCGGGGCGGCGGGGCCCAACACCAAGCAGAGCUUGAGGGUUGUAAUGACGCUCGGA
rnacentral:misc_RNA from 1 species